rnacentral:rRNA from 1 species
UACGUAGGGUGCAAGCGUUGUCCGGAAUCAUUGGGCGUAAAGAGCGUGGAGGCGGCUCGUUUAGUGCGCGGUAAAAGUCCAGGGCUCAACCCUGGGAUGCCGGUGGAAACUGUCGGGCUAGAGUCCGGGAGAGGCGAGUGGAAUUCCUGGUGUAGCGGUGAAAUGCGCAGAUAUCAGGAGGAACACCAAUGGCGAAGGCAGCUCGCUGGAACGGUACUGACGCUGAGACGCGAAAGCGUGGGGAGCAAACAGG